GAUGAACGCUGGCGGCGUGCUUAACACAUGCAAGUCGAACGGGAUCCCAGGAGCUUGCUCCUGGGUGAGAGUGGCGAACGGGUGAGUAAUGCGUGACCGACCUGCCCCAUACACCGGAAUAGCUCCUGGAAACGGGUGGUAAUGCCGGAUGCUCCAGUUGACCGCAUGGUCCUCUGGGAAAGCUUUUGCGGUAUGGGAUGGGGUCGCGUCCUAUCAGCUUGAUGGCGGGGUAACGGCCCACCAUGGCUUCGACGGGUAGCCGGCCUGAGAGGGCGACCGGCCACAUUGGGACUGAGAUACGGCCCAGACUCCUACGGGAGGCAGCAGUGGGGAAUAUUGCACAAUGGGCGCAAGCCUGAUGCAGCGACGCCGCGUGCGGGAUGACGGCCUUCGGGUUGUAAACCGCUUUUGACUGGGAGCAAGCCCUUCGGGGUGAGUGUACCUUUCGAAUAAGCACCGGCUAACUA
rnacentral:rRNA from 1 species